CCGACAUUAGCUAGUGUGUAUGCA
rnacentral:siRNA from 1 species